rnacentral:rRNA from 1 species
UACAGAGGGUGCAAGCGUUAAUCGGAAUUACUGGGCGUAAAGCGCGCGUAGGUGGUUUGUUAAGUUGGAUGUGAAAUCCCCGGGCUCAACCGAGGAACUGCGCCCAAAACUGCCGUGCUCGAGGAAGAUAGAGGUAAGCGGAACUUACGGUGGAGCGGUGAAAUGCGUUGAUAUCGUAAGGAACACCUGUGGCGAAAGCGGCUUACUGGGUCUUUUU